rnacentral:misc_RNA from 1 species
AAGGAUCAUUAUUGAUUAGGGAUUGACACAUCUUUGUGUUUCUCCCUUGCUAUGCAUACCCAUGAAACAGCCACCUGUGACGGUCUCUACGACCGGAUUGCGAGUGGUGCCAAGCUGGAUGCGUCGGAACUCCGUCGAAUUCCACCUUCUUGGCGACUUUUUGAGUGUUAAUGGGUAUGCGGCAAAAAUACUUUUGUGAACCAGUACAAUUCAAUUUUAUGAAAAUGUCUUAUGUUAUUUUAUGUCCUUCACUGGACUGAUUAAUUAUUAAUUAUAAAUAACUUUUAACAACGGAUCUCUUGGCUCUC